rnacentral:rRNA from 1 species
AACGAACGCUGGCGGCAUGCCUAACACAUGCAAGUCGAACGAGACCUUCGGGUCUAGUGGCGCCCGGGUGCGUAACGCGUGGGAACCUGCCCUUAGGUUUGGAAUAACUCCCCGAAAGGGGUGCUAAUACCGGAUAAUGUCUUCGGACCAAAGAUUUAUCGCCUUUGGAUGGACCCGCGUUGGAUUAGCUAGUUGGUAGGGUAAAAGCCUACCAAGGCGACGAUUCAUAGCUGGGCUGAGAGGCUGAUCAGCCACACUUGGACUAGGACGCGGCCCAGAAUCCUACGCGAGGCGGGAGUGGGUAAUAUUGGACAGUGGGCGGAGGCCUGAUCCAGCAAGGCCGCGUGAGUGAUGAAGGUCUUAAGGUUGUAAAGCGCUUUUACCCGGGAUGAUAAUGACAGUACCGGUAGAAUAAGCUCCGGCUAACUCCGUG